GAUGAACGCUGGCGGCGUGCCUAAUACAUGCAAGUCGAGCGAACAGACGAGGAGCUUGUUCCUCUGACGUUAGCGGCGGAUGGGUGAGUAACAUGUGGAUAACCUACCUAUAAGACUGGGAUAACUUCGGGAAACCGGAGCUAAUACCGGAAAAUAUAUUGAACCGCAUGGUUCAAUAGUGAAAGACGGUUUUGCUGUCACUUAUAGAUGGAUCCGCGCCGCAUUAGCUAGUUGGUAAGGUAACGGCUUACCAAGGCGACGAUGCGUAGCCGACCUGAGAGAUUGAUCGGCGACACUGGGACUGAGACACGGUCCAGACUCCUACGGGGGGCAGCAGUAGGGAAUCUUCCGCGAUGGGCGAAAGCCUGACGGAGCAACGCCGCGUGAGUGAUGAAGGUCUUCGGAUCGUAAAACUCUGUUAUUAGGGAAGAACAAAUGUGUAAGUAACUAUGCACGUCUUGACGGUACCUAAUCAGAAAGCCACGGCUAACUACGUG
rnacentral:rRNA from 1 species